AACAACACACAACAUUCCAGGAAUGUACUACCAAAGUUCUAUCAAUAUUUGAAUGUCCUGGACAUUUAGGGAACAUUCGGUGAACAUCUGUUUAAAUUAUUCCUGGAAUGUUACCAUAAGACAUUCUGUGAACAUACUACCAAUGUUCCUAUAUUUUAAGUUGCGAAAUAAUACAUACGUGUAACAGAUACAACAUUACUUAUAACAUACCAGACAAACUAAGUGACACUUUAGGCCUACAGUGCAAUAAUAUGUCAAAUUUAAAGAGUUUCCCAAGUUCAAUUAAUACAAUAUUAUAAACAUACAAAUGUAAUAAAAAUUAUUGUUCGCGAAUAUUCAAUUUGGAAUGCGAUUUUGUUAAUAAAAAAAAUACUUAUAACUUAUGCAAAACCCAAGAGAGGCAUUUAUAUUUAUUUCUUUUGCGUUCAUUUUCAAAUUCGCCGUGCAUAUAUUUUUGUGCAUGGCGCUUGAGAGGGCAUCACGUGACUAAAAACGACCAACCAACGACCUCGCUUCGGCCAUCUUGGCAUCUUCAUCUUGGCCACCUUGCUUUGCCGUGGGUGGAUCGUUGUUUGUAUUAUUUGUGCUUUUUAAGAAUAUUUUUUUAAUUCGGAUACUUUUAUAAUAGCUUUAAUAGUAUUAUUAACAUAGUGAAUAAAAUGGUGUCCUGUUUUUAACGCAGUUGGAGUAGCAGAAACAAAUGUAGAUAAAAAAAUCUGCAGGAAUAACGUUUCAAUUAUGACAGAAGCUCCAAACAAAUGACUGUGAAUGAAAAGCCCUAUUAAAAGCUUUCCAGAAGAUCCUGCGAAGAAGACAUGAAGUAUAGAUCAGAUUUGUUAAUAGAGGAGUAUGUUCAAAACACUUUUUAGAAAAAGAUAUUGACAGAACUUCACUUUCAUCUGUUCGUUUAAGAGACUGUGCUGUUCCAAUAGCUUAUGUCACACAGAAUCAGCUGAGAGAAGUGGUCUACAAAAAACCAGAAAGGAAACGGAAUAUGUGGCUACGAAAAGCAAAAGAAAGGUUUACAAAGCAAAUGUGACACAUUUUUUUAUAAUAUUUAGGAAUGUCAGUAAAUUACAUUAAAAAAUGUAUGUAAAGAUUUUUUGCAAUAAAAAUGUUUAUAUUUA